UACGAAGGGGGCUAGCGUUGCUCGGAAUCACUGGGCGUAAAGCGCACGUAGGCGGAUUGUUAAGUCAGGGGUGAAAUCCUGGAGCUCAACUCCAGAACUGCCUUUGAUACUGGCGAUCUUGAGUCCGGGAGAGGUGAGUAGAACUGCGAGUGUAGAGGUGAAAUUCGUAGAUAUUCGCAAGAACACCAGUGGCGAAGGCGGCUCACUGGCCCGGUACUGACGCUGAGGUGCGAAAGCGUGGGGAGCAAACAGG
rnacentral:rRNA from 1 species